AGAGUUUGAUCCUGGCUCAGAAUGAACGCUGGCGGCGUGCUUAACACAUGCAAGUCGAACGGUAACAGAGGAGCUUGCUCCUGCUGACGAGUGGCGCACGGGUGAGUAAUGCAUAGGUAACGUGCCCCUUAGUCUGGGAUAGCCACUGGAAACGGUGAUUAAUACUGGAUACUCCUUCUACCUUAAUGGUAGUUGGGAAAUUUUUUAGCUAAGGGAUCGGCCUAUGUUGUAUCAGGUAGUUGGUGAGGUAAUGGCUCACCAAGCCUAUGACACAUAGCGGGUCUGAGAGGAUGAUCCGCCACACUGGUACUGAGACACGGACCAGACUCCUACGGGAGGCAGCAGUGGGGAAUAUUGCACAAUGGACGAAAGUCUGAUGCAGCAACGCCGCGUGGAGGAUGACACAUUUCGGUGCGUAAACUCCUUUUAUAUGAGAAGAUAAUGACGGUAUCAUAUGAAUAAGCACCGGCUAACUCCGUGCCAGCAGCCGCGGUAAUACGGAGGGUGCAAGCGUUAUUCGGAAUCACUGGGCGUAAAGGGUGCGUAGGCGGUUUGGUAAGUCUGAUGUGAAAUCCUAUGGCUCAACCAUAGAACUGCAUUGGAAACUGCCUAGACUAGAAUACUGAAGGGGCAGAUGGGAAUUAGUGGUGUAGGGGUAAAAUCCGUAGAUAUCACUAGGAAUACCGAAAGCGAAAGCGAUCUGCUGGGAAGUUAUUGACGCUGAGGCACGAAAGCGUGGGGAGCAAACGGGAUUAGAUACCCCGGUAGUCCACGCCCUAAACGAUGAAUGCUAGUCGUCGGAAAGCUCGUCUUUUCGGUGAUGCAGUUAACACAUUAAGCAUUCCGCCUGGGGAGUACGGUCGCAAGAUUAAAACUCAAAUGAAUUGACGG
rnacentral:rRNA from 1 species